rnacentral:tRNA from 1 species
GGAUUGUAGCUCAGUGGUAGAGCACAAGACUAGCAUGUAUGAGGCACUGGGUUCAAUCCUCAGCACCA